rnacentral:rRNA from 1 species
AGAGUUUGAUCAUGGCUCAGGAUGAACGCUGGCGGCGUGCUUAACACAUGCAAGUCGAACGGGCUGGUUUAGGCCAGCUAGUGGCAAACGGGUGCGUAACACGUAGGUGAUCUACCCCACAGGGGGGGACAACUGUUGGAAACGACAGCUAAUACCCCAUACACUGGCAACAGCAAAGACGUAAGUCGCUGUGGGAGGAGCCUGCGGCCUAUCAGGUAGUUGGUGAGGUAACGGCUCACCAAGCCGACGACGGGUAGGGGGCGUGAGAGCGUGGCCCCCCACACGGGGACUGAGACACGGCCCCGACUCCUACGGGAGGCAGCAGUGAGGGAUAUUGGGCAAUGGGGGCAACCCUGACCCAGCGACGCCGCGUGGAGGACGAAGGGCUUCGGCCUGUAAACUCCUUUUCCCAGGGACGAGACAAGGACGGUACCUGGGGAAUAAGUCUCGGCUAACUACGUGCCAGCAGCCGCGGUAAUAC